rnacentral:misc_RNA from 1 species
ACUUUCAUGUUAGACACAACCCAACACGCWGGCACAACACCAAUGCGAAUUGAGCAGUCAUUUUAGGGACAAUAGAAAUGGGACAUAACAAGGAUCACAUGCGACCCAUGCCCACAUCAAGUUCCAUAUUAAAGAGACCAAGCAGUGUUCAAUACACCACUACAUCAACACAYAAGUUAAUGAUGUGGUUCAAAGAGACAGCAUUAAGGUUUUAUCUGAUGUCAUGAGCAUGACACAAGACGAAAGGAACUCUGAUGCAACCCAAAAAGAUGCCUUAUGUGAGAGGCAAGCAAAACACAAGAAACCCACAAUUUGGUUAGGCAUGAAAGCCAUAACAUAUGAAAGCAAGGUAUGUCAGGUGGAAGUUGU